rnacentral:lncRNA from 1 species
UUGUUGAGUGCUGCACAAGUCAACAAGUCGGGGAAAUAUUGAACUCUAUGGUUUUGGACGAUGCCAUUAUAUAGGUAAAGAGUACUGGAUUGGGAGAGUAUCAUUCUAUUCCUAUUGGAUCUGUUUGUUACAGAAUUGCAGUUGGAGAUACUUCAGGUCCGAAAACAAUAGGGCCAAUGGCUUCGAUUCCAUGUGGUGCUUGCCCUAGGAN